rnacentral:rRNA from 1 species
CCCUUAGAUGUUCUGGGCCGCCCGCGUGCUACACUGAGUGGAUCAGCGGGUCAGGUUGCGCGAAAGUGUUUCCUAAUCUUGAAAUCCGCUCGUGAUGGGGAUUGACGGUUGCAAUUUUCCGUCAUGAACGAGGAAUACCUUGUAAGCGCGGGUCAUCAUCCCGCGCUGAAUACGUCCCUGCCCUUUGUACACACCGCCCGUCGCUCCUACCGAUUGAGUGGUCCGGUGAGGCUUUGGGAUCUGAGCGGAAAGAGCGUUUCGCUGUUUCUGCUCGGAAAACUCAGUCGAACCUUAUCAUUUAGAGGAAGGAGAAGUCGUAACA